rnacentral:rRNA from 1 species
GACGAACCGUGCGAACGUUAUUCGGAAUCACUGGGCUUAAAGCGCGUGUAGGCGGGACGGCACGUCGGUCGCUGAAAGCCCCCGGCUCAACCGGGGAACGGGCGCCGAUACGACCGGCCUGGAGGGACGUAGGGGGACCUGGAACUUCCGGUGGAGCGGUGAAAUGCGUUGAGAUCGGAAGGAACGCCCGUGGCGAAAGCGAGGUCCUGGACGUUUUCUGACGCUGAGGAGCGAAAGCGUGGGGAGCGAACAGG